rnacentral:tRNA from 1 species
GGGCCUAUAGCCUAGUCUGGAUAGGGCGACAGCCUUCUAAGCUGUAGAUCGUGGGUUCGAAUCCCCCUAGGCCCG